UCCAAACCAAAAAAAAUUCUGAUUGUUAAUCUUCUGAACUUCAUCCGUUAUCCAUGGUGACAAAGCAAUAAUUGUUAGAGCUUUGAUGAUUGAUUGAAAAAUAUAACCAUGGUGGUGGAGCUACCUACCACUGUCUUCUUCCACAAUAGAGUUGUCAGAGAAGAAACGAAGAGAUGAGGCAGUGAUGACGAUUUGUUAUACGUAUCAUCGGAGUGUCUCGAAAUUCGGAUUUGACUUCAUAAACUCUGCAGCCGAUGGCAUCUCACAACUGUGUGUAUGAAGCUCUAGCAUGAAUAUGUUGGACGGUUGAUUUCACUUCCAAUGAUGACAUCGGUCUACUAUAUUUAUUUUUGCAUUUAGGUGCAUAUCAGAGACAAGGAUGAAGAUUUAUCGAAGCUGUUUGGAUUGUUGAUCUCCAGAUUUUAGUAGGUCCUAUUGAUGUUCGAGGAUUAUACAUUAUUUAUCUAGCUUAGUACUUUAGACAUAGCUAGUGGAUGUUGUCCCUAGCGUUUCUUUUCAGACAUUUAUUUCGAAGAUUUGUAAUAA